GACGAACGCUGGCGGCGUGCUUAACACAUGCAAGUCGAACGGAAAGGCCCUGCUUUUGUGGGGUGCUCGAGUGGCGAACGGGUGAGUAACACGUGAGUAACCUGCCCUUGACUUUGGGAUAACUUCAGGGAACUGGGGCUAAUACCGGAUAGGAGCUCCUGCUGCAUGGUGGUGGUUGGAGAGUUUCGGCGGUUGGGGCUGGACUCGCGGCUUAUCAGCUUGUUGGUGGGGUAGUGGCUUACCAAGGGUGUGACGGGUAGCCGGCCUUGGAGGGUGGCCGGCGACAUUGGGACUGAGAGACGGACCAGACGGCUACGGGAGGCAGCAGUGGGGAAUAUUGCACAAUGGGCGGAAGCGUGAUGCAGAAACGUCGCGUGCGGGAUGACGUCUUUCGGGUUGUAAACCGCUUUGGCCUGUGACGAAGCGUGAGUGACGGUAAUGGGUAAAGAAGCAACGGCUAACUACGUG
rnacentral:rRNA from 1 species